UGUUAUCUUAAUAAGCAUGAUGGGUGUUUUCAGCAGUGAUUGCUAGACAAAAAAGAUCACAUCAGAAGUUAAUUUAUGAUGAGGCUAGUAAGUGUCAGAAAAUCAGAUUAAAACUGCUUGCUCGUAGUGAAGUCCUUGUAUGUUUACCUCUGGAUUUCUUAAAGAAAUGUGGAGAAGGCUGUUUGGCUGUGACUUCAGAGUUUUCUGCAUCCAUCUCACCUUCUCAGAAGAAGCCAAACACAAUUAUCACUGAAGCAUCGCCUUCACCUUCCCAUUUGUGACGGAUAGAUUUAAUGGUCAACAUGGUACAUCGUAGAGUCUCCGUUAUGGGAAGUCUACAUUGCAUUGGCUUGUAGAAACAUCUGCGUGUGGACUGUCUUGAUUGCCUCAAUUAAAAUGCAAAAACCCGCCCCAAAUGGAGGUGCCACCUUCAGAAGACUUUCCACCGUGCUUCCUUGGCCUUCGUGCUCAUUGAGUCUGUUUUAGGAAACAAUCGGAGCCGGCUUCAAGACUCAGAGCUCUUUCACACUUCCUCCUCCUCCUUACUGGUCUUCCCCAACUGUCAGGUGGAAGAACAAUACUGUGUACAUGAAUUGUCUUAGACAUCGUAACAGAAGCCGACAGAAUUGAUGCAGACAUUUCUCAGCGCAUAAAUAACUUCCGAAACUUUAUGGAAUGAGUGUCAAGACUGAAAAGAAUAAAUCUGUCAGAAGCUUAAAGGACAGCACCCAGAGCAGAGCCCACUUCAGGGAUGCCUUCAUGAGAAAAGACUUCAGGCUGCAAAGGUCAUACCAAGUGCAGACAUAACUCAGUCCAACGGGAACAAUGGCAAGGGAAUACUAGAAGAAUAAGAGAAGCCAAGCACGUGGCAUUCCCCAGGGAUUUGGAAUUGGAGGUACAGUGUUACCACAGUCACACCUCAACUGAAGAGAUGGCAAUUGGACACACUCUGGGUUCUGCAAGACUUUGAAGACAGUAUCAAAGCUGCCCUCCUGAAUGGCAGAAAUUGUGGAAUGUCAUUCAAGGAACAGCAAACCUUCAGGACAAUGACAAACAGAGGUGGACCUUCUCAGGUGUUCUUAAGCACGGGUGCAGCAUCCGGCAACAAUCCAUCCAUCGCUGACAAGUGAAAUCACUUAACUGGAUACUGAGAUGCGAUUGGGAUGAGCCAUCAAUGGGAGAGUAAGAAAUCCAAGGCUGCUGACCUGCUCAGGAUGAGUUUCAGUUACAUGCUGGCAAAGUCUCUGGUUUAGCAUGCUGGAUUUGGUAUUAAAAAGUAGUUUAAAAACAAUG